GAUGACGCUGGCGGCGUGCCUAAUCCAUGCAAGUCGAGCGAACAGACGAGGAGCUUGCUCCUCUGACGUUAGCGGCGGACGGGUGAGUAACACGUGGAUAACCUACCUAUAAGACUGGGAUAACUUCGGGAAACCGGAGCUAAUACCGGAUAAUAUAUUGAACCGCAUGGUUCAAUAGUGAAAGACGGUUUUGCUGUCACUUAUAGAUGGAUCCGCGCCGCAUUAGCUAGUUGGUAAGGUAACGGCUUACCAAGGCAACGAUGCGUAGCCGACCUGAGAGGGUGCUCAGCCACACUGGAACUGAGACACGGUCCAGACUCCUACGGGAGGCAGCAGUAGGGAAUCUUCCGCAAUGGGCGAAAGCCUGACGGAGCAACGCCGCGUGAGUGAUGAAGGUCUUCGGAUCGUAAAACUCUGUUAUUAGGGAAGAACAAAUGUGUAAGUAACUAUGCACGUCUUGACGGUACCUAAUCAGAAAGCCACGGCUAACUACGUG
rnacentral:rRNA from 1 species